rnacentral:rRNA from 1 species
CAGCAGCCGCGGUAAUACGGAGGGAGCUAGCGUUAUUCGGAAUUACUGGGCGUAAAGCGCACGUAGGCGGCUUUGUAAGUAAGAGGUGAAAGCCCGGAGCUCAACUCCGGAACUGCCUUUUAGACUGCAUCGCUUGAAUCCAGGAGAGGUGAGUGGAAUUCCGAGUGUAGAGGUGAAAUUCGUAGAUAUUCGGAAGAACACCAGUGGCGAAGGCGGCUCACUGGACUGGUAUUGACGCUGAGGUGCGAAAGCGUGGGGAGCAAACAGGAUUAGAUACCCCUGUAGUCCCUGUCUCUUAUAC